UUCCGGUUGAUCCUGCCGGACCCGACUGCUAUCGGAUUGGGACUAAGCCAUGCGAGUCGACCUCGUAAGAGGUGGCGCACGGCUCAGUAACACGUAGUCAANCUACCCUGGGGACGGGGAUAACCCCGGGAAACUGGGGAUAAACCUCGAUAGGCCAUAGCUUCUGGAAUGGGCUAUGGCUCAAAUCUAUACGGCCCCAGGAUGGGNCGGCGGCCGAUUANGUUGUUGNUGGGGUAAGGGCCCAUCAAGCCUAUAACCGGUACGGGCUCUGAGAGUGGGAGCCCGGAGAUGAGCACUGAGACACGGGUCCAGGCCCUACGGGGCGCAGCAGGCGCGAAACCUCCGCAAUGGGCGAAAGCCCGACGGGGUNNACCCCAGUGACCGUGCAUCGCACGGUCUUUUGCCGAGUGUAAAAAGCUCCGGGAAUAAAGGCUGGGCAAUGCGGUUGUCAGCCGCCNGGGUAAUACCAGCGGCCCGAGUGGUGGGGCUAGUUAUUGGGCCUAAAGCGUCCGUAUCCGGGCCCGUAAUUUCCUGGCGAAAUCCACNGGCUCAAUUCGUGGGCUGUCUGGGAUACUGCGGGCCUUGGGACCGGGAGCAGGCCGGAGGUACCCCUGGGGUAGGGGUGAACAUCCUAUAAUCCCAGGGGUGACCGAC
rnacentral:rRNA from 1 species